rnacentral:pre_miRNA from 14 species
UUUCAUUUGAACUGAAAGACCCCUGAAGGGAGCCCCCCACUCAAGUCUCGGGAAAGACGCGCACCCAGUAGGACACAGACACCG